AACGAACGCUGGCGGCAGGCCUAACACAUGCAAGUCGAGCGAGGACUUCGGUCCUAGCGGUGGACGGGUGAGUAACGCGUGGGAACGUGCCCUUUGCUUCGGAAUAGCCCUGGGAAACUGGGAGUAAUACCGGAUGAGCCCUUUGGGGGAAAGAUUUAUCGGCGAAGGAUCGGCCCGCGUUGGAUUAGGUAGUUGGUGGGGUAAUGGCCUACCAAGCCGACGAUCCAUAGCUGGUUUGAGAGGAUGAUCAGCCACACUGGGACUGAGACACGGCCCAGACUCCUACGGGAGGCAGCAGUGGGGAAUCUUAGACAAUGGGGGAAACCCUGAUCUAGCCAUGCCGCGUGAGCGAUGAAGGCCUUAGGGUUGUAAAGCUCUUUCAGCUGGGAAGAUAAUGACGGUACCAGCAGAAGAAGCCCCGGCUAACUCCGUG
rnacentral:rRNA from 1 species